rnacentral:rRNA from 1 species
AACGAACGUUAGCGGCGCGCUUAACACAUGCGAGUCGCACGAGAAAGGGCUUCGUCCCCGGUACAGUGGCGCACGGGUGAGUAACACGUGGGUAAUCUUCCCUCGGGCGGGGGAUAACAUUCCGAAAGGAGUGCUAAUACCGCAUAAGACCACGGCUUCGAAAGGAGCUGAGGUCAAAGCCGGCCUCUAUUCAUAAGCUGGCACCUGAGGAUGAGCCCGCGGCCCAUCAGCUAGUUGGUAGGGUAAUGGCCUACCAAGGCAAAGACGGGUAGCUGGUCUGAGAGGAUGAUCAGCCACACUGGAACUGAGACACGGUCCAGACUCCUACGGGAGGCAGCAGUGGGGAAUCUUGCGCAAUGGGCGAAAGCCUGACGCAGCGACGCCGCGUGAGUGAUGAAGGCCUUCGGGUUGUAAAGCUCUGUGGGGAGAGACGAAUAAGUCGGAGCUAAUACCCCCGGCGAUGACGGUAUCUCCUUAGCAAGCACCGGCUAACUCUGUGCCAGCCGCCGCAGUAAAAC